GAUGAACGCUGGCGGCGUGCCUAAUACAUGCAAGUCGAGCGAACAGAUAAGGAGCUUGCUCCUUUGACGUUAGCGGCGGACGGGUGAGUAACACGUGGGUAACCUACCUAUAAGACUGUAAUAACUCCGGGAAACCGGGGCUAAUGCCGGAUAACAUUUAGAACCGCAUGGUUCUAAAGUGAAAGAUGGUUUUGCUAUCACUUAUAGAUGGACCCGCGCCGUAUUAGCUAGUUGGUAAGGUAACGGCUUACCAAGGCAACGAUACGUAGCCGACCUGAGAGGAUGAUCGGCCACACUGGAGCUGAGACACGGUCCAGACUCCUACGGGAGGCAGCAGUAGGGAAUCUUCCGCAAUGAGCGAAAGCCUGAAGGAGAAACGCCGCGUGAGUGAUAACGGUCUUCGGAUCGUAAAACUCUGUUAUUAGGGAAUAACAAAUGUGUAAGUAACUGUGCAAGUCUGGACGGAACCUAAGCAGAAAGCCACGGCUAGCUACGU
rnacentral:rRNA from 1 species